rnacentral:misc_RNA from 1 species
CCGAGUUUACAACUCCCAAACCCCUGUGAACAUACCACUUGUUGCCUCGGCGGAUCACCGCGCCCCGUGAAACGGGCCGGCCCGCCAGAGGACCCAAACUCAAAUGUCUUAUUGUAUCUUCUGAGUAAAAAAACAAAUAAAUCA